CCAGUCCGGCCAACGCCACAGAGCCGAGCGCAGAGCGCGCAUGCGCCAUGACGCUCGCGCUGCGUCCGUCUGGCUCCGCCGCUCCGCCAGGCCGAGAGGAGAGUACGUGUGCGAAGGACUCCGGGUCGCUUUGCGGGAGACGAUACUUUGUCCGACACCUACCUGCGCGCCUCCUCCCCCGCCCCCCUGCGCGCAUGCGCAAGCCUGCGCCCGGCUUCCAGGAGAGGCUGCAUAGCCGGGCUCGGGGCGAUUAUGUGGCGAUGAGCUCGCUACCCGCUCCUCCGCGGGUGGGAAGUGGCCCCGCGGUUUUCUACCAGCCAGUCAGACUGAACUACUCCCUGUGUCCUAGGUGAGGGAUGAGGACCUGGGGGCCCUCCGGGAGGUGCAGCGUGUCUAUGCUGAGAGCCGUCCUUGCAGAAAAGCGCUGUAGAGGGGCUCUGGGUGCUCUGGGCAUGGCUGGUGUUGCGUGUGCUGCUGUGUGUGCUGCUUGAAAGAGCGAGCUGCACAGAUAAAAGGACUCGCCACGCAGCCAAAGCCAGACACUGCAGCCACAAGCCAGGAAUGACUGGAUCAGCCAGAAACUGGGAGACACACAAGACCAUCUCUCCCAGAGUCUCUGGAGGGAACACGACUUAGCUGACGUCUGGAUUUUGGACUUCUACUCUUGAGAUGUUUCACAGGAAAUUCAGAAGUUCAAGUAUGCCAUGAGGAAAUAACAAGGCAAAUCCAGAAUAUGGAGCAGUUGGCUCCUACCUCCCAAACACUGAAGUCAAAAAGAAAAACAAGUGUGGGGGAAAUGUACUUGAAAACUGAGCUGGCAAGGACGGACCAGAGGUGUGCGGUACUACACAAGGCAUGCAGCGGCCCCUGGGUCUCGGUGUGCUAGAACUGAUGUGGGAAACAAAGGCAGAAGAAAAAUUAUUAAAUUUCCUGACUACCUACAGCCCACU